UACAGAGGUCCCAAGCGUUGUUCGGAUUCAUUGGGCGUAAAGGGUGCGUAGGCGGUGGGGUAAGUUGGAUGUGAAAUCUUGGGGCUUAACCUCAAAAUUGCAUUCAAUACUGCUCCGCUCGAGUUCUGUAGAGGAGAUUGGAAUUUACGGUGUAGCAGUGAAAUGCGUAGAUAUCUGGAGGAACACCGGUGGCGAAGGCGGCAUCCUGGACCGGUAUUGACGCUGAGGCGCGAAAGCUAGGGGAGCAAACGGG
rnacentral:rRNA from 1 species